CCGACCGCCGGUCAGGCGGCGGUGGUAGUGCGGAGGGUGCAAGCGUUAGCCGGAGUUACUGGGGGUAAAGGGUGUGUAGGCGGGCCAGUAAGGCAGGGGGGAAAGCCCGGAGCUCAACUCCGGAACUGCCUGGGAUACGAGUGGGCUUGAAUGUUGUUGAGGUGGGCGGAACGGGUCAUGUAGCGGGGAAAUGCAUAGAUAUGACCCGGAACACCGAUUGCGAAGGCAGCCCGCUAAGCAACUAUUGACGCUGAGGCACGAAAGCGUGGGGAUCAAACAGGAUUAGAUACCCUAGUAGUC
rnacentral:rRNA from 1 species